ACUACAAGAAAAUACAUAUUCAGCGACUAAGAUUCGAGUCGCCGAAUAACCAUAUUUGGUCGCCGAAACCUUUUCGCGACUAGAAUACUCUUCGUCGCCGAACCCUAGUCACUGAAAGGUUUUGGCGACCAAUAUUGUGUGGUCACCUAAGGUACACCAACAACGACCAACGUUUGGUUGCCGAAGCAACUUUUCAGCGA
rnacentral:lncRNA from 1 species